GCGGAGAUGGUGCAAAGGCAGCACGUAGGGCUCAUAAUCCUAAGACGAGGUUCAAAUCCUAUGUCCGCA
rnacentral:tRNA from 1 species